UACGAAGGGGGCUAGCGUUGCUCGGAAUCACUGGGCGUAAAGGGUGCGUAGGCGGGUCUUUAAGUCAGGGGUGAAAUCCUGGAGCUCAACUCCAGAUCUGCCUUUGAUACUGAAGAUCUUGAGUCCGGGAGAGGUGAGUGGAACUGCGAGUGUAGAGGUGAAAUUCGUAGAUAUUCGCAAGAACACCAGUGGCGAAGGCGGCUCACUGGCCCGGUACUGACGCUGAGGCACGAAAGCGUGGGGAGCAAACAGG
rnacentral:rRNA from 1 species